rnacentral:rRNA from 1 species
UACGUAGGCAGCGAGCGUUGUUCGGAGUUACUGGGCGUAAAGGGUGUGUAGGCGGUUCUUUAAGUUUGGUGUGAAAUCUCCCGGCUCAACCGGGAGGGUGCGCCGAAUACUGAGGGACUAGAGUGCGGGAGAGGAAAGUGGAAUUCCUGGUGUAGCGGUGAAAUGCGUAGAUAUCAGGAGGAACACCGGUGGUGUAGACGGCUUUCUGGACCGUAACUGACACUGAGGCGCGAAAGCGUGGGGAGCGAACAGG